CAGUGCCAGCUAUCAACAAGCAAACACACACUCUGUGCAGCUUUUUCUGGAUAUUUCCCUUUGAAAACCUUGUUUCUGGAGAUAAUGAUGGACAACAAAAGCAGGGAAUGCAUUGCCAGAGCCCUGUAACAUCACUAGGUACUGACACCUGAGAGCAGGAAAGCAGCUUUUUGCAUCUGCCCUGCUGGGAUCCAUCAGGGGAUGAUGUGGGCCAAUAUCUACAAAAAGGAGCUUGGUACUCACCUGUCAGAUGAAGCUUUGCCUCUUACUGCUGCAGGCCUUGCACAACUUCUUUCUGAACCUGUACAAAAUAACCCAGGACCACAUGCUGCACUUCCCAAAGGCUAAAAUUAGACUGAAGAUGAAUUAAACUGAUGUUUAGCAGGUCACUCUUUUAUUUAUUGUACACUGCAAGAAAAGAAGCAGGAAGACCAUAAAAAAACCUCUACUCUGGCUCAGGGUGAUAGCAGCCAUUAAUAAAGGGAAAAAAAAAAAACCAACAACCUCACAGCAAAAUUAAAGACUUCCCAAGACUCCCACAAAAAGAGAAGAGCGUGCUGAUCAAAAACCAUUUUUGCUGUUGAGCACCUCAUGGUACUGCUAGCAUCAACCAGGAAAAGCUGUGUCAAGUUAAGAGGCCUUCUAAAUACUUGUCAGAAGAAGACGUUUCUUAAGGAACUACAUUUUCUGCUGCUUCAUUUAGACUGUCACUAAAGCACAUAGAUCUUCAGCACCACUACAGAUUAAAUAUAUAUUUUAUUUCUUCUUUAUAAUAAAACUGUAUUUGAGGAGUAUUGACUACUACACAAAUCUGUGUCAGUUUGCUACGCUAGCUUAAUUUUAAACACAUGCAUUAUCCCCAAACAUCUCUAUAACCCCUGUGCGCAUCAGCUGCCUCAGUGUGUGUCCACUUCAGUCCUGUAUUAUUCUUUACUCUUCUGCCUCAAUUACUAACAACACUUUAACUGAGGAUGCUUUUUGCUUUGUCCUACUUGCUUCUCUGUGCUGUUGACAGC